GCGCCCGUAGCUCAACUGGAUAGAGCACCUGACUACGGAUCAGGAGGUUGAGGGUUCGAAUCCUUCCGGGCGCGCCA
rnacentral:tRNA from 1 species